rnacentral:misc_RNA from 1 species
GAUGAAGAACGUAGCGAACUGCGAUAAGUAAUGUGAAUUGCAGAAUUCAGUGAAUCAUCGAGUCUUUGAACGCACAUUGCGCCCCCUGGCAUUCCGGGGGGCAUGCCUGUCCGAGCGUCAUUGCUGCCCUUCAAGCCCGGCUUGUGUGUUGGGUCGUCGUCCCCCCCGGGGGACGGGCCCGAAAGGCAGCGGCGGCACCGCGUCCGGUCCUCGAGCGUAUGGGGCUUUGUCACCCGCUCGAUUAGGGCCGGCCGGGCGCCAGCCGGCGUCUCCAACCUUCUAUUUUACCAGGUUGACCUCGGAUCAGGUAGGGAUACCCGCUGAACUUAAGCAUAUCAAUAAGGGGAGGA